CAUAGUUUCAUAUGCAAUCAGUCAGAACAACAAUAUAGUACAUAUCAUAAAUCUAUACACAUCGUCAAAUAACCAAACAAUAACUGUCACAUUUUCACCAGUCUGCUAGUAUCCAUGGGGGUUCAUAGGGAUGUCCCCGCUACACGUAAACUAUUUUUUUUAACAAUUUCAAUUACGGGUCGUUCUCAUACCACGUCCGGUAUGAGUGCCAAUUUAUUAAACCUCAAU
rnacentral:lncRNA from 1 species